AAUGUAAAUUGAGAAAUGCAGGGUCUUAUAAUGGCUUGAAUUACAGGAGUCUCUCCCUCUUUUUGCUGAGCCCUGUGUGUUUAAGGGACUUGCUGGCUUUUUGUGUUGUCUAGAAGUUGUUAAAUGAGUGAAAAAAACUGUAAAAACCUUCCGCCAAACCAUCUUCCUUAUUUGCAAGGAUCAAGGAAGGAUUUUGUUUGUUUAUUUUUUUGAGAGAUGGAUUGAAAGAAUUUGAAAGACAGUCAGAAGGGUUUGGAGUACUGAGGAGAACCUUGAUAGCUGAUAGUUCAAGAAAAUGCUUCAUCAAACAGGGCUGGCAGGCAUCUCUUCACUCCUUUGAACCUUCAGUGUUGAUAAGGAGGUUUUAAAAAUUGUUAUUUGUAGGAAAAUUUGAUUUUCAUUUAUCUGAUUUUUAAGUAGGGGAUUUUCAGUAUGGGGCACAUAAUAGUAAAUGACUGUGUCUUCAUUUGAACAAGGGACUAACAUCAAAUUCAUUAGGAUCUGCCUCUCAGCAAUUUUGUUCACAAAUCCAAUGGAAAAAAAAAAUCUCUGGAGUCACUUAGAAAACUGUCAGUAGUAGAUUGUAUGUGUAUGUGUGAAACCAGCAGAUUAUUCAUAGGAACUUUGUAAUUAAUGAUCAAAUAUUUUUAAAGAUCUUGUUAGUAGCAAUCCAAGUAGAAAUGGAGAAAAGGAUGGUGUGUCCAUAUUUCACCAGCAAGGUAGAUUGUGACUUUACAGAGCAUUAAGAUGUUUCAAGUUUUAAGUUUUUUCUUGGAUGGAGAAAAUGACUGAGUCCUGGAAUACUUCACCGAAGGCUGCUUUUGUCAAACAGAGAAGAAACAAGAGAAGGCUGACCUCUCUCUUUGCUUACAGAAAGUUUUAUAUUUUCUAGGAUUACAUAUUUAGAACACUUUAUACAACAGGCCAGGCACCAACAUUAUGAAGUCACCAAGUGUACAUGUAUAGUGCCUCCAGACAACAGCAAGAGGUGGACUAAAGUUUUUUUGGAGACCAAUUCAGUAACUGAAAACUGACCUUUCCUCUCUCACUCCCUUUCCCUCCUAGGCAAUGGCAGAGGGUCUGACGGUUGGAGGCAGAAACCCCCAAACAAAUGCUGUUAUCUGAUAGAAAUAACCAGAAAAGAUACAAUUUUGUCUGAAGACCAUGCUAAAUAGACCCAUAAAAUUUAAGCUGAAGCCUUCUCAUCUACUUGCUGAACAUAUGUAUUUAAUCUACAAGACGAGCAGAACCUGGGAUGUGAAUAGCAAAGCAGAAUUUGACCUUCAUUUUUUGAGUUAUUACUGAACAUGUGUGAUGUGAAAACAUUGAGAUCCUCUGCCAUUCAUUAUGGCAAAUGUCAAGUGGGUGUUGUGUGGAACUGAGAGAGACCAAUCUUGAGAGAACAUCCGCCUUCAAUAAGUGGAACUCCAGAUUACACAAAGCUGCAGGCAUAAAAGCAGCUACAAAAGAAAGUUCACUCUGAAAAUGAAACAAUUUUCUCUAGAAAAAUGAACAUGAAAGUUAAACAGCCAUCCUCACCCUUGCCUGGAAGAUCUGAGAAAGGAGGUGGAGAGAAAAGUGUCCACUCUUUGGUCUCUGCACUGGUGACAAUCAUUGUAGGUGGGGGACCACUAUAUCAACUAAUAGAAGUGCCUGAAAAUGUUCCCAGGCUCUGCUGCUGGACCAGAAAACAAAACAUGUUCCUGCUAAUAAAUUCCAUCAUUCGCUGUAACUAGAUGGCUGUGUGAAAAAGUGCCUGUUGGAAAUGAUCCUGGGAAUAUUUGUACUCCCAAGCUGGUUUGGGAUUUUUUUGUAUGAGUGCUGGAUGGCAUGUGUGCCAAAAGUGUGCCAGGAAAUAGUUUGACAAUUUAGGGAUUGCCUAGAUUAGGAAAAAGGCCCAAUAAGAACAGAUCCAUGGCAGAAAACAUCUGGUGCAUCCACACUGACAUUCAAAGCCUUUGUAUUUCAGAGAGUUUUACUGUUUCCUAACUCUAGCCCACUCCCGCAGACAGAAUGUCCAUUAGCAGUCAAAGUGCAUUAGAUGCCCUCUGAGACUGCUCCUCCAGGUUUAUUUUUAUCUGAAAGGAAUUCAUUUUGCACAUUCCAAACACGAUGUGAACCAAAGUGCAGGAAGUGGGAACUACUGGGAGAUUUACUUCAGUAGUGCAUCCUGAUCUGAACUAUAAUGCUACCUCACAUACACUCGGAGGCAACUGCGUCCCACUGUUUGAGAACAUUCCCAAUCACAGUUUAAUUUACCAGUUCAUCCAGUUCAAUUGCACAUAAAAAUUGUGUGAGGCUUUGGCAUGUUAAGUGGAAAUUGGAUUUAAAAUUUUAUUGCUAAAAUUGAGUAAAUCUCUGCUGAAUGUUUGAACUGUCAUUCUUAGAGUGCCUAGAAUAAAUUUGAGAAAGUUUGCAAGUGGAUGCAAAAGCACAACUGUUAUAUAUAGACUGUGUUCAUGAAGUGUUUUAAAUGUGUCUCGCUAGUGUAUCUGAGAAAAGAGGAGGGAGAGAGAGGGAGAGUGUCUGAAUGUUAAAGGGAAAGAGAAAGGCCUAAAGAGUAUUUUUUCUUCUUAUAGAUUAGAAAAAUCUUCACAGUAAAUUUACAGCCAAAAUUUCCAGUCCUGACUAAAGCAAGUGAUGUUUGGCGUGCUGUAUCUGCAGGUCGUGAGCUUUAAUUACAUCACAUUAUCUUUCACUGUAAGAUCUGGACUGCAGUUGCCUUUAGGUUGGAAUCCAAACUGAUAAAGAGCUUUUUAUCACUACACAGUACAUCAGACAUAGUUUGUAAGGAACAGAUAGUCAUCUGCUCUACCAACCUGCCUAUUCUAGUUGAAGUUGCCUCCAGGGAAUAGAUACCAGAAACUUCACAUUUAGAUCACUUAAAAAGAAAGAUUCCUGGCAAAUAGGAUGGCAUAAGUGGUAUUUAGAGAAAAGCUGUGUAAUAUAGUACCUAAAUAAUUUUAUAGUCCUACUGCUAUUUUAGUAUGCUGGUAGGAUAUCUGAACCACUUGCUCUUGACUUGUACCUUGUUAGUAAUGAUGUUAUGCAUAAUGCAGCAAAGGAAUUCUUCAUUCCUGAGCAGGGGAACAGAAGUGAACAGAAGUGCCUUUUACAACUCAUCUCUUAUGGAUCAAAGGAAACGUCAAGCUUGCCUUAUCAUGUAAGCGAGUUUAGCGUCCUUGAGCUUUGCUGUUACAGUUACACAUGCUUAGCCCAUAGUUUUUGCUAUGUUUGCAUUAACUGAAAUUGUACGUUUAUGGAUUGCACAGACUUGAUUUCUGCUGGUGGAUGUUCAGUGUGUCUAUUAAAAUUACAUAUUUUCAGAACUUACUGUGAAAUAUAUGCAGAAAUUAUUAAAAAAUAUGAAGAUAUUUAUUUUGGGCUAAAAUAAUCUAAAAC